AUGGAGAAGCCAGCUCGCAGCUUCGGCGGGAGCUCGUCGGAGGACGCGGGGACGCCCCUGCUGCUGCCGGUGCACCGCGACGACGACGCCGCGACCACGGCGUCGUCGCGCCUGAGGGCUCUGCUCGCGCACAAGUACCCUGCGAUCGCGUCGGGGCCCGUGGCGUGCGCGGCCAUAUGCGCGCUCGUGGACCUCGGCGGCGCGCACGGCGCGGCGCCGCGGAACAUGCUGGGCGUGCUGGCGUGGGUGUUCCUGUGGUGGGCGACGGACGCCGUGCCCCUCGCCGUGGCGUCCAUGGCGCCGCUCUUCCUGUUCCCGGCCUUGGGCAUCUCCUCCGCCGACGCCGUCGCCAAGGCGUACAUGGACGACGUCAUCGCCCUCGUCCUCGGCAGCUUCAUCCUCGCCCUCGCCAUCGAGCGCUACCACAUCCACCGCCGCCUCGCUCUCAAUAUCACGCUGCGGUUCUGCGGGGACCCGGUGCGGCCGUCGCUGCUGCUGCUGGGGAUCACCGGCACGACGGCGUUCGUCAGCAUGUGGAUCCACAACACGGCGUGCACGGUGAUGAUGAUGCCUGUGGCGACGGGGAUCCUGCAGCGGUUCCCGCGGGGCGGAGGCGCCGGCCAGGGGGAGGGGGAGGAGGAGCAGGAGGUGCGGCGCUUCUCCAAGGCGGUGGUGCUGGGCGUGGUGUACGCGUCGGCGGUGGGCGGGAUGGCCACGCUGACGGGCACCGGAGUGAACAUCAUCCUGGUGGGGAUGUGGUCGGCCUACUUCCCGGAGAAGGAGCCCAUCACCUUCAGCUCGUGGAUGAGCUUCGGCCUCCCGAUGGCGCUGCUCAUGUUCUUGGCGCUCUGGGUCACCCUCUGCUUCAUGUACUGCUCCAACAACACCGGAAAGGCGCUCUCUGCCUACCUCGACGGAACCCACCUCAGAAGGGAGCUCAGCUUGUUAGGUCCAAUGGCUUUCGCGGAGAAGAUGGUCUUGGCUGUGUUUGGGGGUCUAAUUGUGCUAUGGAUGACCAGGAACCUGACAGAUGACAUUCCUGGGUGGGGAGUUCUCUUCCACGAUCAAGUUGGGGAUGGAACAGUCACGAUCAUGAUGGCCACGUUGCUGUUCAUAAUCCCGAGCGGGAAGAACGGGGGUGAGAAGCUCAUGGACUGGAACAAGUGCAGGAAGAUCCAGUGGAACAUCGUGCUCCUCCUCGGCGCGGGCUUCGCCAUCGCCGACGGCUUCAGGACCAGCGGCCUGACCGGCAUCCUCUCGGACGGCCUCAGGUUCCUCGAGGGCGCGCCGACGCUGGUGAUCGUGCCCGUGGCCUGCGUUUUCAGCGGGGUCAUCACCGAGUUCAUGUCCGACGACUCGACCACCACGCUGGUGCUGCCUCUGUUCGCUGAACUGGCCAAGUCCAUCGAGGUGCACCCGGCGCUGCUUAUGAUCUCCGGCGCGGUCGGGGCCCAGCUGUCGUACUUGUUUCCCAUCGGGUCGCCGUCGAAUGUCGUCGGCUUCAGCACCGGCCACAUCACCAUCAAGGAUCUGGUGGCCACUGGGCUGCCCCUCAAGGUCGUCGGAGUUGCAGCUCUGACGGUCUUGCUACCAACACUAGGGUCAGUGAUUUUUGGCAUGGAUAAAAGUCCUAGCUAG
rnacentral:rRNA from 1 species